UACGUAGGGUGCGAGCGUUAAUCGGAAUUACUGGGCGUAAAGCGUGCGCAGGCGGUUUUGUAAGCCAGAUGUGAAAUCCCCGGGCUCAACCUGGGAAUGGCAUUUGGGACUGCAAGGCUUGAGUGCGGCAGAGGAGACUGGAAUUCCUGGUGUAGCAGUGAAAUGCGUAGAUAUCAGGAGGAAUACCGAUGGCGAAGGCGGGAUCCUGGGCCAGUACUGACGCUGAGGAGCGAAAGCGUGGGGAGCAAACAGG
rnacentral:rRNA from 1 species